GCAUAUCAAUAAGCGGAGGAAAAAGAAACCAACAGGGAUUGCCCUAGUAACGGCGAGUGAAGCGGCAACAGCUCAAAUUUGAAAGCUGGCCUUCGGGUCCGCGUUGUAAUUUGCAGAGGAAGCUUUGGGCGCGGCGCUGUCUGAGUCCCCUGGAACGGGGCGCCAAAGAGGGUGAGAGCCCCGUAUAGACGGAUGCCUAGCCUGUGUAAAGCUCCUUCGACGAGUCGAGUAGUUUGGGAAUGCUGCUCAAAAUGGGAGGUAAAUUUCUUCUAAAGCUAAAUACCGGCCAGAGACCGAUAGCGCACAAGUAGAGUGAUCGAAAGAUGAAAAGCACUUUGAAAAGAGGGUUAAAUAGCACGUGAAAUUGUUGAAAGGGAAGCGCUUGUGACCAGACUUGCGCCGGGCUGAUCAUCCGGUGUUCUCACCGGUGCACUCUGCCCGGCUCAGGCCAGCAUCGGUUCUCGCGGGGGGAUAAAGGCUUAGGGAAUGUAGCUCCUCCGGGAGUGUUAUAGCCCUCUGCGUAAUACCCUCGCGGGGACCGAGGUCUGCGCUCUGCAAGGAUGCUGGCGUAAUGGUCAUCAGCGACCCGUCUUGAAACACGGACCAAGGAGUCAAGGUUUUGCGCGAGUGUUUGGGUGUAAAACCCGCACGCGUAAUGAAAGUGAACGUAGGUGAGAGCUUCGGCGCAUCAUCGACCGAUCCUGAUGUACUCGGAUGGAUUUGAGUAAGAGCGUUAAGCCUUGGACCCGAAAGAUGGUGAACUAUGCUUGGAUAGGGUGAAGCCAGAGGAAACUCUGGUGGAGGCUCGCAGCGGUUCUGACGUGCAAAUCGAUCGUCAAAUCUGAGCAUGGGGGGCGAAAGACUAAUCGAACCAUCUAGUAGCUGGUUACCGCCGA
rnacentral:rRNA from 1 species